rnacentral:rRNA from 1 species
UACAGAGGUCCCAAGCGUUGUUCGGAUUCACUGGGCGUAAAGGGUGCGUAGGCGGUCGGGUAAGUCUGAUGUGAAAUCUCCAAGCCUAACUUGGAAACUGCAUUGGAUACUAUCCGGCUCGAGGAAUGGAGGGGAGACUGGAAUACUUGGUGUAGCAGUGAAAUGCGUAGAUAUCAAGAGGAACACCAGUGGCGAAGGCGAGUCCCUGGACAACUUCUGACGCUGAGGCACGAAAGCUAGGGGAGCAAACAGG